UUUUCAAAGAGAAAAUGAAUGAUUUUGGAAAUAAAAGGGGGAUUUUUGAAGAGAAAAUGGGUGAUUUCUGCAUAAAUGAGGGAUUUUUGAAAAGAAAACAGGUGAUUUUUGUGCUGAAUGAGGGAUUUUCAAAGAAAAAAUGGAUUAUUUUUGCUAAAAUGAAGGAUUUUCAAAGAGUAAAUGAAUGAUUUUCACUUAAAUGGGGGAUUUUCAAAGAGAAAAUGGCUGAUUUUCACUAAAAUGAGGGAUUUUCAAAGAGGAAAUGGGUGAUUUUUGCAGUAAAUGAGGGAUUCUCGAAGGGAAAAUGGGUGAUUUUGGGGUUAAAUGGGGGAUUUUCAAAGAGAAAAUGCAUGAUUUUCUAGUUAAAUGGAUAAUUUUCGAAGAGAAAAUGGUUGAUUUUUUGCGUAAAUGGGGGAUUUUCGAAAAGAAAACGGGUGGAUUUUCGGGUUAAAUAGGGGAUUUUCAAAGAAAAAAUGCGUGAUUUUUGGGUUAAAUGGGAUUUUUUUUAAGAGAAAAUGAGUGAUUUUCGCUUAAAUCGGGUUUUUUUUCGAAGAGAAAAUGCAUGAUUUGGGGGAUAAAAGGGGGAUUUCUGAAGAGAAAAUGGGUGAUUUUUGCGUAAAUGAGGGAUUUUGAAGAGAAAAUGCAGUGAUUUUUGGGGAUAAAUGGGGGAUUUUUGAAAGAGAAACAUGGUGAUUUUUGUGCUAAAUGGGGGAUUUUCAAAGAAAAAAUGGGAUAUUUUCACUAAAAUGAAGGGAUUUUCAAAGAGUAAAUGAAUGAUUUUCGCUUAAAUGGGGGAUUUUCAAUGAGAAAAUGGGUGAUUUUCGCUUAAAUCGGGGAUUUUUGAAGAGAAAAUGGGUGAUUUCUGCAUAAAUGAGGGAUUUUUGAAAAGAAAACGGGUGAUUUUUGUGCUAAAUGGGGGAUUUUCAAAGAGAAAAUGGAUUAUUUUCACUAAAAUGAAGGAUUUUCAAAGAGUAAAUGAAUGAUUUUUGCUUAAAUUGGGGAUUUUCAAUGAGAAAAUGGGUGAUUUUCACUAAAAUGAGGGAUUAUCAAAGAGAAAAUAAGUGAUUUUUGCGGAAAUGAGGGAUUCUCGAAGGGAAAAUGGGUGAUUUUUGGGUUAAAUGGCGGAUUUUCAAAGAGAAAAUGCAUGAUUUUCUAGUUAAAUGGAUAAUUUUCGAAUAGAAAACGGUUGAUUUUUUGCGUAAAUGGGGGAUUUUCGAAAAGAAAACGGGUGGUUUUCGGGUUAAAUAGGGGAUUUUCAAAGAAAAAAUGCGUGAUUUUUGGGUUAAAUGGGAUUUUUUUUAAGAGAAAAUGAGUGAUUUUCGCUUAAAUCGGUUUUUUUCGAAGAGAAAAUGCAUGAUUUGGGGGAUAAAAGGGGGAUUUCAGAAGAGAAAAUGGGUGAUUUUUGCGUAAAUGAGGGAUUUUUGAAGAGAAAAUGCAUGAUUUUGGGGAUGAAUGGGGGAUUUUUGAAGAGAAAAUGGGUGAUUUUUUGCGUAAAUGUGGGAUUUUCGAAGAGAAAAUGGGUGAUUUUCGGGUUGAAUGGGGGAUUUUUGAAGAGAAAAUGGGUGAUUUCUGCGUAAAUGACGGAUUUUCGAAGAGAAAAUGAGUGAUUUUUGGGUUAAAUGGGGGAUUUUCAAAGAGAAACGGCAUGAUUUUUGGGUGAAAUGGGGAAUUUUCGAAAAGAAAACAGGUGAUUUUUGUGGUAAAUGGGGGAUUUUCAAAGAGAAAAUGGGUGAUUUUUCGCUUAAAUCGGGGAUUUUUGAAGAGAAAAUGGGUGAUUUCUGCAUAAAUGAGGGAUUUUUAAAAAGAAAACAGGUGAUUUUUGUGGUAAAUGGGGGAUUUUCAAAGAAAAAAUGGAUUAUAUUCGCUAAAAUGAAGGAUUUUCAAAGAUCGGUUUUUUCGAAGAGAAAAAUUGGUUUUUUUCGAAGAGAAAAUGCAUGAUUUGGGGGAUAAAAGGGGGAUUUCUGAAGAGAAAAUGGGUGAUUUUUGCGUAAAUGACGGAUUUUCAAAGAGAAAAUGGGUGAUUUUGGGGAUAAAUGGGGGAUUUUUGAAGAGAAAAUGGGUGAUUUCUGCGUAAAUGACGGAUUUUCAAAGAGAAAAUGUGUGAUUUUCGGGUUAAAUGGGGGAUUUUCAAAGAGAAACGGCAUGAUUUUUGGGUGAAAUGGGGAAUUUUCGAAAAGAAAACAGGUGAUUUUCAGGUUAAAUGGGGGAUUUUCAAAGAGAAAAUGGGUGAUUUUCGCUUAAAUCGGGGAUUUUUGAAGAGAAAAUGGGUGAUUUCUGCAUAAAUGAGGGAUUUUUAAAAAGAAAACGGGUGAUUUUUGUGGUAAAUGGGGGAUUUUCAAAGAAAAAAUGGAUUAUUUUCGCUAAAAUGAAGGAUUUUCAAAGAGUAAAUGAAUGAUUUUUGCUUAAAUUGGGGUUUUUCAAUGAGAAAAUGGGUGAUUUUCACUAAAAUGAGGGAUUAUCAAAGAGAAAAUAAGUGAUUUUUGCGUAAAUGAGGGAUUUUCGAAGAGAAAAUGGGUGAUUUUUGUGGAAAAUGGGGGAUUUUCAAAGAGAAAAUGGGUGAUUUUGGGGUUAAAUGGGGAAUUUUCGAAAAGAAAACGGGUGAUUUUCGCUUAAAUGGGGGAUUUUCAAGGAGAAAAUGGGUGAUUUUUGCGUAAAUGAGGGAUUCUCGAAGGGAAAAUGGGUGAUUUUGGGGUUAAAUGGGGGAUUUUCAAAGAGAAAAUGCAUGAUUUUCUAGUUAAAUGGAUAAUUUUCGAAGAGAAAAUGGUUGUUUUUUGCGUAAAUGGGGGAUUUUCGAAAAGAAAACGGGUGGUUUUCGGGUUAAAUAGGGGAUUUUCAAAGAAAAAAUGCGUGAUUUUUGGGUUAAAUGGGAAUUUUUUUAAGAGAAAAUGAGUGAUUUUCGCUUAAAUUGGUUUUUUUCGAAGAGAAAAUGCAUGAUUUGGGGGAUAAAAGGGGGAUUUCUGAAGAGAAAAUGGGUGAUUUUUGCGUAAAUGAGGGAUUUUUAAAAGAAAACGGGUGAUUUUCAGGUUAAAUGGGGGAUUUUCAAAGAGAAAAUGGGUGAUUUUCGCUUAAAUCGGGGAUUUUUGAAGAGAAAAUGGGUGAUUUCUGCAUAAAUGAGGGAUUUUUAAAAAGAAAACGGGUGUUUUUUGUGCUAAAUGGGGGAUUUUCGAAGAGAAAAUGGAUUAUUUUCGCUAAAAUGAAGGAUUUUCAAAGAGUAAAUGAAUGAUUUUUGCUUAAACUGGGGAUUUUCAAUGAGAAAAUGGGUGAUUUUCAUGAAAAUGGGUGAUUUUCAAUGAGAAAAUAAGUGAUUUUGAGCGUUAAUGAGGG
ensembl:lncRNA